rnacentral:rRNA from 1 species
AACGAACGCUGGCGGCAUGCCUAACACAUGCAAGUCGAACGAGACCUUCGGUUCUAGUGGCGCACGGGUGCGUAACGCGUGGGAACCUGCCCUUAGGUUCGGAAUAACUCCCCGAAAGGGGUGCUAAUACCGGAUAAUGUCUUCGGACCAAAGAUUUAUCGCCUUUGGAUGGGCCCGCGUUGGAUUAGCUAGUUGGUAGGGUAAAAGCCUACCAAGGCGACGAUCCAUAGCUGGUCUGAGAGGAUGAUCAGCCACACUGGGACUGAGACACGGCACAGAAUACUACGGGAGGCAGCAGUGGGGAAUAUUGGACAAUGGGAGAAAGAAUGAUCAAGCAAUGCCGCGUGAGUGAUGAAGGCCUUAGGGUUGUAAAGCUCUUUUAACCGGGAUGAUAAUGACAGUACCGGGAGAAUAAGCUCCGGCUAACUCCGUG